UACGAAGGGGGCUAGCGUUGCUCGGAAUCACUGGGCGUAAAGGGCGCGUAGGCGGGUCUUUAAGUCAGGGGUGAAAUCCUGGAGCUCAACUCCAGAACUGCCUUUGAUACUGAGGAUCUUGAGUUCGGGAGAGGUGGGUGGAACUGCGAGUGUAGAGGUGAAAUUCGUAGAUAUUCGCAAGAACACCAGUGGCGAAGGCGGCUCACUGGCCCGAUACUGACGCUGAGGCACGAAAGCGUGGGGAGCAAACAGG
rnacentral:rRNA from 1 species